GGUGCUACAAUAACCUAUGUGGGUCACUCCAACACACAUAUGCAGUGCAAAAUAAAUCAAUAUAAACAACAGUGAGAGCAUACAAAUGUUACCACAAUCUGUACAUACAAUACGAACCUGUAGGUUAAACAAAGAAAAUACACCGUAGAGUAAUAAAGUAUGUAUAUCAAUAUUAAUGAAUACACUAAUUGGUCCCACUCACAUGGAUCAGAGCCACUCAAAUAGCUGCCUCAGACUUUAGAGAUUGGUUGGAAAAGUAUGAUGGAUAAUUCUUGAGAUUUGUUAAUUAUGUUCCCCAACUCUGCG